rnacentral:rRNA from 1 species
CUACGGGAGGCAGCAGUGAGGAAUAUUGCGCAAUGGGGGAAACCCUGACGCAGCGACGCCGCGUGGAUGAUGAAGGCCUUAGGGUCGUAAAAUCCUGUCAGGUGGGAAGAAGUGGAUAUAGAUUAAUACUCUAUUUCUUUGACGGUACCACCAAAGGAAGCACCGGCUAACUCCGUGCCAGCAGCCGCGGUAAUACGGAGGGUGCAAACGUCGUUCGGAAUUACUGGGCGUAAAGCGCGCGUAGGCGGUUUGUUAAGUCAGAUGUGAAAGUCCAUGGAUCAACUAUGGAAGUGCAUUUGAAACUGGCAGACUUGAGUACUGGAGGGGGUGAUGGAAUUCCCGGUGUAGAGGUGAAAUUCGUAGAUAUCGGGAGGAAUACCGGUGGCGAAGGCGAUCACCUGGCCAGAUACUGACGCUGAGGUGCGAAAGCGUGGGGAGCAAACAGGAUUAGAUACCCGGGUAGUC